UUAUUUAAAAGAAAUUAUCAUAUUACAAAUUUAAAGGAGGGCUGAAAAGUAAUUUUAAAUAAAAUAUACUAUUUAAGUGAAAUUGUUUCAAACUCUAAGGGUGGUCACAAUUAUUUUACAAAAAUUAUCUACCCACUUGAACGGUUACCAUUAUUUUUAAAUUAUUUUUUUAGAACAAAUAUUGUAUACCGUUGAUUAGAUCUAAAAUCAUGCAUCAAUUAAAUCAUACCGGCUUUACAAAAAUUUAUCGCACUAAUUUGUUCGUUGAGCUCUAAACUAUACUCUUUAUGUCGCCGUUGUCCGUUGAGUGUCUUCAAUCUUGAUUUCACUUGAUUCACUUGCAUAAAUAUUAUCCUUCAAAAAUUAGUGAAAAUGUGAAAUACAAUAUUUAUUAUUUUUACUUAAGACACAUGUUUGUUAUCAUCCAAAUUACAUUAUGUGUAGCCCUUUAGGCUAACAAUCUCCCCCUUUUUGAUGAUGACAAACAUCUCAUGUAUUUUGACAUUAAACUCCCCCUUAAUACAUGGCAUAUAUGACUUCAACUUAUAAAUCAAAUUGAAAAACAAACUCCCCUUAAAUAUAUGAUCUAUAACAAUUUGUAAGCUCCCCCUUAAUAUUUCAAAACCAUGCAUAAAUACUUCAAGAUCAAAAUAUAUAUUACAUGUCCUCAUAUUCAAAAUACAUGACUUCUCCCCCUUCAUCAUCAAAAUUACUAGAAAUUCAUGCGAAGAUCGAUAAUAUGUCAAUGGUUAAUCAAGAAACAUAUAAUAACCAAACAUCCAAUUAACCAUAAAAUGAUCAUGAACCAUCAUGCCAUCAAAAGAAUGCUCAAAAUGCAUAUUAUCCAAAAUCAUAUUGUAUGCUCCCCCUAAAUAUAUGGCCAGUUAAAAAAUUUAACCAAAAUGAUAUUAUCAAAAAACAUAUCAUAUUUAUCUCCCCCUUCAUAAAAAAUAGAUAGAUGCAAUCGAAACAAGAGCAUAAAAAAUAAUUCAAUAAAGAUAUUCCCAAUUUUGUGCAAGCAAAAAUUUCGGCAGAGUCUCCCCUUAAAAUGAACAAAUCCUUAAAUAUACAACAUGGUUAAAAACACUUCCGUAUAAGCUUAAACAAUUAUAACAAACCAACAACUCCAUCAAUUCAUCAAGCAAUACACAUAUAAUCAUCAAUCAUCAAAAGUACUAUAAAUUCAUGUUUAUACCAAAAAGAACAUCUCAAUGAUUAAUCACUAAGCAUAUAAAAAUAAAGGAUGCAAUUAAUCUAAAGAGUCAUAUUCAUUCUAAGAAUUCAAAAAAUAUCAUCCAAAUAUAAAUUAUCCAAAUAUUAAACAACCAUCAUCUGUAAUCCACAAUUAAAACAAUUAUGCAUAUAAAAAUGUAGGUGCAUAAUAUAAUAAGGAACCAUGGUAAUUCGAAAUACCCAAAAUGCACAAAUUCGGUUUUGUAAAAUAAUGAGUGAAAUUGCUUAUUUUAAACCGAUUAUAUUGAUCCAAGAGAUGAUUUAAGAUAAUGGAUGGUGUUGAUUGGAUCAAAAGUGGACUAAAAAGAGCUUAAAUAUGCAAUUUCGGGUGUAACAAAAAUUGAGUGAAAUGGAUUUGUUUGAGCCAAGAAAAUCAAUCCUAGAGAUAAAUGAAGCUAAUAAAUGAUGUAGAUUGGAUCAAAAAUGGGCUAAAGGAAGCUUGGAAAUGUAGAGAGAGAAACGGGUAGAGUUAGGUUUUUGAUUUUGGGUUUUAUGCGGAGAGUUGAUGAAAUGAAGUUUUGAGAACGAAAAUUGAAGGAGUAAUGGAUGAAUAAUGAUUUGGAUGAUUGAUUUUAACAAGAAAAUGAGUGAAAGAUAAAGAAAUUUGAGAGAAAAAUGGAGAGGUACUGUUCACGCGUGAGAGAUGAUGAUGAAAUGAUGAAGAACAAGUGAAGAAAUGAAGAUUGGGAAGUGUUUAAUGAGAGUGAAAUGCAUGAAUAUUGGUUUGAAUGAUUAUUUUUGGCAUAAAAAUGAUUGAGAAAUGAACAAAAAUUGAUUGGAAAUGGAAGAGAGUAGCUCACGGUUUUGAGGAGAGAAAGAACAAGUGCAAAAAAAUAACGAAGGAAGAAGAAGAAGCAAAAAAUGACUCCAACCCGUGACCAAGGCUUGGG
rnacentral:lncRNA from 1 species